UUUCCGUAGGUGAACCUGCGGAAGGAUCAUUACAGUGUUCUCUGCCCUCACGGGUAGAAACGCCCACCCUUGUGUAUUAUAUCUUUGUUGCUUUGGCAGGCCGCCCUCGGGCACCGGCUCCGGCUGGAUCGCGCCUGCCAGAGGAAACCCAAACUCUGAAUGUUAGUGUCGUCUGAGUACUAUCUAAUAGUUAAAACUUUCAACAACGGAUCUCUUGGUUCUGGCAUCGAUGAAAAACGCAGC
rnacentral:misc_RNA from 1 species